rnacentral:tRNA from 1 species
UCCCUGGUGGCUCAGUUGGUAAAGAAUCUGCCUGCAAUGUAGGAGACCUGGGUUCGAUCCCUGGGUUGGGAA